ensembl:lncRNA
GCCACCGGGCAGCUCGGGGCUCGUAGUCCUGCCCGUGGCCGCGGCCCCACAGCCCUCGCUGCUCCCCUAUCCCGUGGAGCCGGGGGCCGUGGAGGGCCGAGAACUACGGCUCCCAGCAGGGCCGGCGGAGAUGAACAGAACAAGCACAUGGAGUUCCAGAUGCUGAUCCUCGGAGAAUCCACGUGUGACAGAAAGGAUGGAUAAUCUUUUGGCUCAGUUCCAACCUGGUGGAGCCAGCAUGUGGUUGUUUUCAGGCUGAUGUACAGAAAGGGCCUGAUCCUGGAUGUGAGGAAGAAGAUGUUUACCAGCAUGGUUAGAAACUGCCCUCCCUUCACACAAUUCCUUCUCAGCAUGUGGUUUGCAAGAAGGCAUCUCUGGCCGGAACCGCUUGUGUGGUGUCACUCUUAGCUGUUGCAGCUGUGGAGCUUCAAGACACUUUCUUGAAGUUAUAUGAAGCGGUGACAGAAAAUAGAGAAGGAGAAAUCCCCUAAUGGUUGUGGAAAGAGUUACUACUUGACUUUUCUAAGUUUAUCAUGUGUAUUUAAUGCUUUCUAAAGAUAAUCUGCAUGUAUAAUUUGGAAAAAAUAUGACCUUUGUGUCUAAAACUUAAAAAUAUAUUCAAGAAUAUUGUUGAAGUGUCCACAGUCCUGGGUGCUCAGAUACAGGCAGGAAGGUAAAAAAAAAAAUUUUUGGUAAUUACUGACAUGAAAGAAACGUACAGUUCAAUUUGCAAAUGUAAUUCUGAGUCCACAAAAAGCUGUAUUAUUGCUCUGCCUUGUUACUGGCAUAAUUUUCAAAAUAAAACAUCAACAGGAAUGCGUAUGGAUACUACGUUAUGAAGAAUGUGAUUAGAAAUAAAUGGGAAUCAUUGAUCCAUCAAUAAAAGGGAAUCUUACAAUGUAUGGGACACUACAGUUUGGACCAUCACUUUUAGUUUUUCAGCUGAGAGCAGAAAAGAUGUGGUAAAGUUUACUUGCAAUUUCUUCCCUGCAUAUCUUUAUCUCUAGUUUUAUUAAAAUAAUUUGCUAUUUGAUAGUCCAUGUAAGUGCAUUCAAAAGCAUUAAAAUGCGUAAAGUCAUCAUGUUAUUGAUAUAAAUUAAUUAAUUUAAAUGUUAAUUUAAAUGCUGACCCUACCUGUGGGGAAAGUUGAAAUCUGUUUCCUGGGAUAGUUAGUACAGAAUGAAAGUUGUACUUGGCUGUAAUCCUGAUGCCUUAUUAGCAUGAGGGGUUUGUCUCCUCCCUGGCAGGUCCUGGCUAGUGGUGAAGUGGAGCACCCGGAGUCGGUCCUGCUGUGGCGGCAGUCCUGGGUAUUGAUGCUGGGUCACACCUGGCUGUGGCUCCAGGCAUGCUGGGAAGGAGAUGCCUGCAGUGUGCUGCCACUGGCACUGGGCAACUUCCUGGAGUCGGAGCAUGGCCCUCUCCAACGUUUUGAAACCACUUCCCUGUAGGUCCUUUGGAUUCUGUCACUGGCUGCCAGACCCGUAAGGCCCCGCUGUCCUCGGUUACAUCAGUGCCAAACUGCACUUGUUUGGUUUUUUAAUUUCUGUUACUUUUCUGUUAAUUUUCUGUUACUUUUCCAUCAGAGAAUCCCGAGGGUCCCAUUUGGUUGCUCAGUGAAAGAACAGAGGGUGGGAGAAAGCUUGCAAGGUCACCUCUGUUUGGAAGCAGCUCCCUUAGUAUUCAGCCUUCCUCUUAGCAGCUGGCUUUCAAAUGGCAAGGGAAGGUUUUGCUGAUAUGAUGCAGGGGAAGGACCUGGUUAGCGUAUGAAGACUCUACAGAGUGCUCAUUGGGCGCUGGUGAGGAAAGCUGCUCCUUUGCGGGGAAAGCCUUAUGUUUCUCUGUGCAUGUCUGUUACUGCUGACUUCAGUGCCAUGUUUACUUUUGCCUGCUCUGAGAUAGGUGUGGUAUACAAGUACUUUUGUACUAGGGUAGUGUGCAGUUCUGCUCAGUUGGACUCAGAGUUGCAAGUAGAUAGUUGACUAACUAUGGGGUCCCAGAGAACGUGAGGUGUGGGAUCUACCACUGCUUGUGCUAUGCUAAGUAGUGAUCAUACACCAAUUUUUAGGCAACCUUACUAGCAAGGCCUAAAGUAAUUCUGUGUCUGUGGCUUAAAGACUUACUGCUGUGCAGCUGAGUCACUGUAACCUGCUUGGUGCUCACUCAUAGCCUUCCCUCACUGCCAAAAAUGCUUUAGCACUGACUGUCUUUAAGCUAAGCCUUUCUUUUUCGCAGUCACGAGUGAGGACUGGGUAUGGUAGUCAUACAGGUGAUAAGCAGUAACGCAUGAAGCUAUAGUAACUUGAUUGCCUUUGGUUAUACAUGUAACAUUAUUUUAGGAAUCUCUUUUCAGCAAGAGAGAGAACUACUUCCUUUUUUAAUGAUUUGGGAUCAAAUUUAUCCCAGUGGGAAUCUGUACAGAGCUAAUCAAUAGUGCUAAAUUUAAGAAGGAAGGAAUAGUCAAGGAAUAUUUUUCUAUUUCAAAUAAAUAAUAGAUACAUUUUUUUCAUGUGAAAGUCUUGGUGUUCAGCAAAAAAAGAUGAACAGUAAAAUUUAGUGGGUAAGGUAUUUAGUGGGACAGGAAAAUGUCAGUGUGUUCAGGUGUCUGUAGGUUAAUCAGUAAAUCCAGUAAAAUCCUCUGUCCCUUAGGUAAAGGGUCUGUAUUAAACUCCAGGCCUCCAGGAGGAGGAAGGAAGUUUUAGGCAAGUGUUUGAACAAGGGAGGUGGACUGAGGGAAGCAGAAGAGAAAGGCCAGGACCUGCAGGACUGUUACAGCAGCCCACACACACAGCAGUAUUGAUCUCUCUGUGAGUUGUGGUUAUCAACCAGGAUUUGACUACUUCUGAGACAAACAUACUAAAUACAAGAACAUCAAAUCAGAAAAUGUUGACGAUUAGUCAGUAGAGAAAAAUGGUGAGGAAAAAA